GAUGAACGCUGGCGGCGUGCUUAACACAUGCAAGUCGAACGAAGAUGCCGGAGUGCUUGCACUUUGGCAGACUGAGUGGCGGACGGGUGAGUAACGCGUGGGUAACCUGCCUUAUACAGGGGGAUAACAGUUGGAAACGACUGCUAAUACCGCAUAAGCGCACGGUAUCGCAUGAUACAGUGUGAAAAACUCCGGUGGUACAAGAUGGACCCGCGUCUGAUUAGCUUGUUGGUGAGGUAACGGCCCACCAAGGCGACGAUCAGUAGCCGACUUGAGAGAGUGAUCGGCCACAUUGGGACUGAGACACGGCCCAAACUCCUACGGGAGGCAGCAGUAGGGAAUAUUGCACAAUGGGGGAAACCCUGAUGCAGCGACGCCGCGUGAAGGAAGAAGUAUUUCGGUAUGUAAACUUCUAUCAGCAAGGAGAAAAUGACGGUACUUGACUAAGAAGCCCCGGCUAAAUACGUG
rnacentral:rRNA from 1 species